AUGGCGAAGUGUCUCGCCGCCGCGCUCCUGCUACUGGUGGUGCUCGCCUCCUGCGACGGGAGGGAGCUGAACGAGAAGGUUGCAGCGGCACGCGGUGCCGGCGUCGGCGAGUCCAAGGCGAUGGGGUUGCCGGACUUGCCAGCUGUGACGCUCCCCACGGCCCCGACGCUCCCGACGCUCCCCACGGCCCCGACGCUCCCCACACUCCCGACGCUCCCGACGCUCCCGCUGGUGGGAACCAUUACCGGUACCAGUACAAUUACCGGCCCGGUGGUGGCGCUUCCGGCGAUCCCUGCUCACCCUUGA
rnacentral:rRNA from 1 species